rnacentral:rRNA from 1 species
GAUGAACGCUGGCGGCGUGCCUAAUACAUGCAAGUAGAACGCUGAAGCUUGGUGCUUGCACCGAGCGGAUGAGUUGCGAACGGGUGAGUAACGCGUAGGUAACCUGCCUCUUAGCGGGGGAUCACUAUUGGAAACGAUAGCUAAUACCGCAUAAAAGUCGAUAUCGCAUGAUAUUGAUUUGAAAGGUGCAAUUGCAUCACUAAGAGAUGGACCUGCGUUGUAUUAGCUAGUUGGUGAGGUAACGGCUCACCAAGGCGACGAUACAUAGCCGACCUGAGAGGGUGAUCGGCCACACUGGGACUGAGACACGGCCCAGACUCCUACGGGAGGCAGCAGUAGGGAAUCUUCGGCAAUGGGGGCAACCCUGACCGAGCAACGCCGCGUGAGUGAAGAAGGUUUUCGGAUCGUAAAGCUCUGUUGUAAGAGAAGAACGUAGUGUGAGAGUGGAAAGUUCACACUGUGACGGUAACUUACCAGAAA